GUAGGGAAUCUUCGGCAAUGGGGGCAACCCUGACCGAGCAACGCCGCGUGAGUGAAGAAGGUUUUCGGAUCGUAAAACUCUGUUGGUAGAGAAGAACGUUGGUGAGAGUGGAAAGCUCAUCAAGUGACGGUAACUACCCAGAAAGGGACGGCUAACUACGUGCCAGCAGCCGCGGUAAUACGUAGGUCCCGAGCGUUGUCCGGAUUUAUUGGGCGUAAAGCGAGCGAAGGUGGUUUAUUAAGUCUGGUGUAAAAGGCAGUGGCUCAACCAUUGUAUGCAUUGGAAACUGGUAGACUUGAGUGCAGGAGAGGAGAGUGGAAUUCCAUGUGUAGCGGUGAAAUGCGUAGAUAUAUGGAGGAACACCGGUGGCGAAAGCGGCUCUCUGGCCUGUAACUGACACUGAGGCUCGAAAGCGUGGGGAGCAAACAGGAUUAGAUACCCGGGUAGUCC
rnacentral:rRNA from 1 species